GAUGAACGCUGGCGGCGUGCCUAAUACAUGCAAGUCGAGCGAACGGACGAGAAGCUUGCUUCUCUGAUGUUAGCGGCGGACGGGUGAGUAACACGUGUAUAACCUACCUAUAAGACUGGUAUAACUUCGGGAAACCGGCGCUAACACCGGAUAAUAUUUUGAACCGCAUGGUUCAAUAGUGAAAGACGGUGGUGCUGUCACUUAUCGAUGGAUAUGCGCUGCAUUAGAUAGUUGGGAAGGUAAAGGCUUACCAAGGCAAGGAUGCAUAGACGACGUGAGUGGCGGAUCGGCGACCUGGGAACGUAGCCGGCGACCAGACGACUACGGUAGGGCGCAGAAGCGAAUCGGACGCAAUGGUCGAAAGUCUGACGGAGCAACGCGACGCGAGUGAUGAAGGUGCUGGGAGCGGAAAACUCUGUUAUGAGGGAAGAACAGAUGUGUACGUAACUGUGGAGAUCUUGACGGUAACGAGUCAGAAAGCCACGGCUAACUACGUG
rnacentral:rRNA from 1 species